AGAGAGGAACCGGUGUGGUGAACUCCUGGCAUGCGCAGGUGACAAGAGGUUCCGCAGGGUCACAGGCUUAUUAAACUUGGAUGACAGUAAACCGAUGACUAACUGGGUAAUUAAAACCACGAGCCUAGGCUCUCUGGGGGCCUGUUCUCUAGGCCAGUGCCCCUCAUCUUCCCCUCAGCAGAACGGCCUUUGUGGAUUUGAAACCCUCCAUGGCGACCCCACCUCCUCUCAAGGCUGUUCCUCUUGUUUGUCCGAAGCUUCAUCCCAUCUCCCUCCCCGUUCUGUAAGGAUGGAGGAAAUCGAACCCUUUAGCUGAAGCCCAGCCCAUACUCCCUCCUGCUUGACUAAAGUUACUAAGCCCUUCCUGCCAGGAGGCGCUUAGCUCUUUCUGUUCCAUGGAACUUUGGCUUCAAGCGCCCAGAGCCUCCCAGUUCCUCAUGAGAGUGAGUUGGGAACUUCAAAGUGACAAGCCCCAGCUGAGAAACCCCUGAGUUGCUUCAAAGACUGUCUUUUCCAGCCUGAAUCUUCUGGGGGAGUGUGUGUGUGUGUGUGGGGGGGGGGUGUUUCUCCCUCGCCUCUGAAAGCACAUAAGCAGUGAAGUUUACAAUGACUUCUACGUUCCUACCUUUAAUUUAGGCUCCGGGCCUCCAUGGGAAUGAAUGUGCAGUGGGAGUCCCCACCUGCCUUGGGCAUGCUCUGUGAUGUCUCUCCCCUGCCAUGCCUCACGUUCUGGCUUUCUCCUUUCUGUCCAGAUUAUCCGGUCCAUUGAGGGUGGAGAAGGGGCUAUACUUGGGACGGGGAUGGCACUGUGGUUGCAAUAUGCCCACAACAUUCAUGUCCUGGGAACUUAAUGCCUAGUGCAACAGCGUCCAGGCAGCCAUUAGAGCUGAAACCUGAGGCUGAAGCGGAAAGAUUCUGAGUUCAAGGCCAGGCAGAGUGACAUAAUAAGUCUGAGGCCAGUCUUGGCUACAGAGUAAGACUCUCUCUC
rnacentral:lncRNA from 1 species